UGGGGAAUAUUGCACAAUGGGCGCAAGCCUGAUGCAGCGACGCCGCGUGGGGGAUGACGGCCUUCGGGUUGUAAAUCCUCUUUCAGCAGGGACGAAGCGAAAGUGACGGUACCUGCAGAAGAAGCACCGGCCAACUACGUGCCAGCAGCCGCGGUAAUACGUAGGGUGCGAGCGUUGUCCGGAAUUACUGGGCGUAAAGAGCUCGUAGGUGGUUUGUCGCGUUGUUCGUGAAAACCGGGGGCUUAACCCUCGGCGUGCGGGCGAUACGGGCAGACUAGAGUACUGCAGGGGAGACUGGAAUUCCUGGUGUAGCGGUGGAAUGCGCAGAUAUCAGGAGGAACACCGGUGGCGAAGGCGGGUCUCUGGGCAGUAACUGACGCUGAGGAGCGAAAGCGUGGGGAGCGAACAGGAUUAGAU
rnacentral:rRNA from 1 species